GUGUUAUGUAGGAGUUGUUCCACGUGUAGAUGUUUCUCUGGGCGGCGGGCGCAGGUGCCCGUUUGCGGGCUGCUCUGGGCUCCCGGCUCCCGGCGGCGCGGAGCGGCGAAGGAACCAGGAGGGCUGGCGGCCGGUCUGGGAAUGUGGCGGCCGCGCAAGAACGGCCCAUGGCCCUCACUUACCGCUCCAGUGCAGCCGUGACACGGGCCCAUGCCCAGCACCCUCGGGUUCCGCCACAGCCGCUGGACACGCCGCCGACCCGCACGGCUAAGCAGAGCUGGGCUCAGGCGGCAGCCCUCCCGCUCCAACUAACUCCCCAGAAGUAUUGCUUGGUGUGCAUUUCCAGGCUCUGCCUUCUUUCUCAUCUCUUGGUGGCAGGUUGAGGAAAAGGAGAAAAGGUUAAACUUUUGAAUAAACCGGCAGAAUAAGCUUAUAACAUCCCCUCACUAUCUCUGCAUAGGUUGUAGUCUCUGCAGCACUACAUAAGCUUUGCCCAAAGUAAUGAACAGUUGAAAGUCAAAUGUAAUACUUCACCAAACAACUUAAAAAUGCUUGCGCACUGGAAAGGAUUAAGUUGCAGAGAACACAAAUGGACCCAGAGCAACUUUUGCCAAAAGAGAAUAUUGUGCUAAAUGUACAGCCAUAGCUCUUUUCCAUAUGAAGAAACAGUCAGAAGGAUAAAAGAACUUGGUCAAAAUCACACAAGUAAGUAGGACAGAAUCUGGUCCGUGUGUCGGAAGGGUUGUGUUCUUUAACCAGCAGGCUAGCUUUUCUCAAAUCUGAUUCAUGCAUAGAAUAACUAAACACCUCUGUUUGCCUUGAAUAUUCCCUGUUUAUACGUAGGGCUGCUGCAGUUUCUCAUAUUGCCCACUUUGACUCCCAAAAGCAACUGAGAAUACACAAUAAUUUGGUCAUUCUAUCCAUGGACCACUGUGGUGGGACUGCCCAGGAAGCUUAUUAAAAGUGCAGCUUCCUGAGCCCUACUCCACAUCUAGAUAAGUUUUCUUAGGGUUGGCUCAAGAAUCCAGGUACAAGUCUUUUUAAGUGCUUUUGUGGAACCCCCCAGGUGAGUCUCUCACUCUCGUAGUUAAUAAACCAUUUAUUCUGCCUCCCCCAGAUGCCCAGCCACGUCCUAUUAAGGUAGAAGUUCCCCCACCCCAUCAGAGGGUUGCUCGCAGCCAAGUAAUCUCUGGAGCCUUGGAGAAUCUGAAUGGUCUCAUGCUGGCCCAUCUGCCAUGACAAAGCUCCUCCAGAGCAUUCCCCUUCUCAUUUUACAUUCUACCACUCCCAAAGGCAGUCUGCUCCAAUGGGGCCUGACUUCGUGUGUCCUAACGUGCACCUGCUGAUUCAAGCAGUUUAGGAAUAGAAGGUGCUGUGGUUUUCAACCAGGGUGGCCCAACCUCUAAAAUGGUAGUCAAAGCAGUCUCUACCUCCUGGGCACAUCGCCUCUGCAACAGCCCCAGUAAACGAAUGUCCCAUCUAUGCUUUUUCAAAGUCGGCAACAAGGAGUCCCCUCCUAAAGAAGGUUGUCUCUCAUUGCCACACUAUCAAAGGCUGCCCCAACUGUUCCUUACUGUGGGCCUGAUCAGGCUGACGGCAGAGUUGUCUCUUUCCUUCUCUGAGCCAGCCCAAAUCGUCUUAGAAACACCUCUUCACACUGUUGACCAUGUUUUUCAAUGGGAGCUGCUGCUGGGUCUUUAUCUCAUCCUUUCAUGGUGGAGAGAGAGGAUUCUAAUGAUUUUUACUUCUAGGGGAGAGGGGAGUGUAAUGAUUAUGUUGUCAUUUUCUAUUAUGUCCUUUUGUCAUGAAUUUGUUUUCAAUUUCAUGUUAAAAUGGGCCCACCAUUUCCACUUUGUGAGAUCAUUCAGCACCCUCAUUUUGCACCUUUAACAUCACUCUCAGUAUCACUUGGAAAUAUUUGAAAUGGCAUGAGCUUGUCCUCACAUUCCUAUUAGCUGUAAAUCUGGAGCCCCGACAUGAACCUAACCAUUGAGCAGAACACCUCUCCACUACCUGUGUAACACUGGGUAGGCCCCUUAACCUCUUGGUUUUUUUAAGUCCUCAGUUGUAAAAAUGUGAGGGUGCUAUGAAUUUAUAUUUGGGGCACGACAAGGUCGAGAAGAGUGUGUCUUUUCCUUUAUUCUUCCAAACUGGAAUGUCUUCCCUCUCUUCCGCAUGGGUCCAAAUCUCACUUGUCCUUCAGGCCGACUGCCAAGGAGCCUUCCCUGAUUCCCCAGGCCACACAAAUCUCUGCCUCUUAGGGUCAGUGCCAUACAACCUAGCUGUCUCUUACGUUAAUCUUGUCUCUCAAGCCAAACUCAGAAUAUGGGUCUCUCUUGCCCUCCUGUGGCCCCUUGCGGCUGUGCCAGCCCACCGGCACGCCCCACGUGGGGUGUCUACUACACUAGGGCAUGGGUGGGGAGGCCCAGGGUGAGGGGCGAGGCAGAGUACCUUUGCCUCUACCCUGUUCUCCUCCACAAAACUGUCCCUCCUCCUCAAGCCUGCCCCUCAAGUCAAAGGUUCCAUAUAUGACCUCACUGGGUAGUGAUGCCGUCACAGGCAUUCUCAGAGUUUCCAUGGCAGCAUAACUGUGCAAACGGGCUGCACUCAGAGAAACUUCUCUACCAGUUCUCCACCAGAUACCAAUCUUUUUGGCUGUCUGUGUGAGAAUGUGUGACCGGAUAGUGUAUGUGUACUCUAACCUGUGCUCUGUUCCCUGGGUGGGCAGUGCAGCAGGUACACCCAGACAGGGCAACUCUACAUGAGAUAUGAUACACACACAACCUCACCUGGCUGGCACAUGUUCCUGUGGGGGUUGCCAACUACGUACAGCUGAGCACUUUCCCAGAUCAGUAGUGCCUCCCGUUUCUCGUCCUACACCUGGUCACUACCAUGUCCUGUACCACGGGUAUGGAGAAACGCAGUUGGGCUGGCACGGGGAGACAUACUGCCUGGUUGGUGGCUACCGGCUCUACGGGGAUGUUCAUUUGGCCACGCCAGCUAAGGUAGAAGCAGAGAAGCCAGUCCCCAGACGUGCUCCGAAGAGAAAGCACUCUCUGGAAUGGUCGGACGAAGACCUGGGUUGCCCCAGGCCCAAAAUCCGGCGAUUGGAGCUUUCAAGCAGCACAGGAAUACAAGAUGCUCCUUUGGCCACGCCAGCCAAGGUGGAAGCAGAGAAGCCAGUCCCCAGACGUGCUCCGAAGAGAAAGCACUCUCCGGAAAUGCCGGACGAAGACCUGGGUUGCCCCAGACCCAAUAUCCGGCAAUUGUAGCAUGGUGCCAGGAGGCGGACCCCACAGAAUCUUGCAGGGGCCCCUUUGUGAGCUGAAGAAAGAAAAGUCUAGAAAAAACGGAUACCUGGGAGGGGAAGAUGGCGGAAGAGUAAGACGCGGAGAUCACCUUCCUCCCCACAGAUACACCAGAAAUAUAUCUACACGUGGAACAACUCCUACAGAACACCUACUGAAUGCUGGUAGAAGACCUCAGACCUCCCAAAAGGCAAGAAACUCCCCACAUACCUGGGUAGGGCAAAAGAAAAAAAGAGAAAACAGAGACAAAAGAAUAGGGACGGGACCUGCACCAGUGGGAGGGAGCUGUGAAGGAGGAAAUGUUUCCACACACUAGGAAUACCAUUCCCUGGCGGGGACUGCGGGGUAGCUCUGGAACCUCAGAGGAGAGAGCAGCAACAGAGGUGCAGAGGCAGAGCGGAGAGAUUCCCACACAGAGGAUCGGUGCAGACCAGCACUCACCAGCCUGAGAUGCUUGUCUGCUCACUCGCUGGGGCGGGUGGGGGCUGAGUGCUGAGGCUUGGUCUUCAGAGGUCAGAACCCAGGGAGAGGACUGGGGUUGACUGCAUGAGGACAGCCGGGGGGCGGCUAGUGCGCCAGAGCUAGUUGGCAGAGAGUCUGGGAAAAAGCUGGGCCUGCCAGAGAGGCAAGAGACCUUUGUUGCGGGGUGCUUGAGGAGCGGCCCGUCAUAGGAGCUUCCUGCAUCACACACUCACAGACAGCAGGGCAACACCUACGUGAGCACGAGCACAAGCACAAGCCGUGGCUGUUAUAUCUGACCCCAGAGGCUGCCGUCCACCGCUGCUACCAAGAGUCCUGUGUGCAAGGCAGGUCACUGCCCACACCUUCCCAGCAGCCUGUGGAGCCCACCACUGCCGAGGGUGCUGCGAUUGGGGCCAACUUCCCCAGGAGAACGCACAGCACGGCUCAGGCUCUUGCAGCUUCAUGCUGGCCUCUGCCACAGCAGGCACUCCCUGCACAUCCUGAUUGUGAUUGCCAUAUCCCUCCCUCUCCCCAGCCUGAGUGAGCAAGUGAGCCCUAAUCAGCUGCUGCUUUCGCACCCUUUUUCCUGUGCAGCGAACAGAUGUCUGAGGGCGGCCCACUCCCAGAGGUGGGGCCAAAACCAAAGCUAAACCCCAGGGGCUGUGCAACCAAAGAAGAGAAAGGGAAAUCUCCCCGUGCAGCUGCAGAAGCAGUGGAUUAAAUCCCUGCAAUCGGCUUGGCAAACCCUGCGUCUGUAGAAUACCUGAAUAGACAACAAGUUUUCCCACAAUUGAGGCUGUGGGCUUUGGGGACAAGUACAUGUGGGAGUAAGGUCAGAUCAGUCUGAGCUUGCCCCACAGUGCCCACAGUAGGUCCAGAGACCUACCUAGAAGUACUGGAGGACUUCCUGUGGAGGCAGGGAUUGGCUGUGGCUCACUAUGUGGGCAAGGACACUGACAGCUAAGGCCACAGGAAAAUAUCACUACUUUUUUUGUUGUUCAGUUGUUCUUUUUUUAUUAUUCUUUUAAUUUUUUACUUUUUUAUGCUUUUAUUUUUAAUAUAUUUCUAUUCUAUUUUUUUCCUAUUUCUAUGGUAAUUUUUCAUUACACUGUUUUUUCCUUGUUUGUUUUUUCCUUUCUUUUGCUUUGUUUUCAUUUUAUUUUUAACUACAUUUUUCUAUUUUUACUUUACUACUUUGUUGUUUUAUAUGUUUUCCUUUUGUUUUCAUCUUUCAUCUUUGCAUUUUUUUGAUUUUUGUGGGUUAGUUUUAUGCUUUCAUCGCCUCUUUUUAGUUUGCUUUCUGCAUUUGAUGUGUUUCUGGUUUUAUGUGUUUUGUAGUUUUUAGUGUUUGUUUUCAUUUUUGGGUUUGUUUAUUGAUUUGGUUGCUCUCUUCUUUGUUUUUGCUUUUUUUUCUUUUCUUUUCUUUUUGUGAGUACGUGUGUGUAUGUUUCUUUAUGUAAUUUGUCUGUUUAGUUUUGCUUUUACCACUUGUCUUGGGGUUUUGUGUGUUCGUUUGUUUGAGUUUUUUGUUUGUUUGUUUUCUUCUUCCUUUUCUUCCACACCGUGUGGCUUGUAGGGUCUUGGUGCUCCAGCCGGGGGUCGGGCCUGAGCCUCCAAGGAGGGAGAGCUGAGUUCAGGAUUUUGGACCACCAGAGAACUCCCAGCCCCAUGGAAUAUUAAUCGGUGAGAGCUCGCCCAGCAGUCUCCAUCUUAACACAAAGACCUGGCUCCACCCAAUGGCCAGCAAGCUCCAGUGCUGGAUGCCUCAUGACAAACAACUAGCAAGACAGGAACACAACCCCACCCAUUACCAGACAGCCUGCCUAAAGUAAUACUAAGCUCACAGACACCAUAAAGCACACCACCAGAAGUGGCCCUGCCCAUCAGAAGAACAAGAUCUACCUCCACUCACAGAACGCAGGCACCAGUGCCCCCAACCAGGAAGCCUACACAAGCCAGUGGGGACAGACAACAGAAGUAAAAGGCACUAUGACCCUGCAGCCUGCAGAAAGGAGACCCCAAACACAGUAAAUUAAACAAAAUGAGAAGACAGAGAAAUAUGCAGCAGAUGAAAGAGCAAGGUAAAAACCCACCAGACCAAACAAAUGAAGAGGAGAUAGGCAGUCUACCUGAAAAAGAAUCCAGAGUAAUGCUAAUAAAGAUGAUCCAAAAUCUUGGAAAGAGAAUGGAGAAAAUACAAGAGACAUUUAACAAGGACCUAGAAAAUCUAAAGAACAAACAAACACUGUUGAACAACACAAUAAAUGAAAUUAAAAAUUCUCUAGAAGGAAUCAAUGGGAGACUAACUGAGGCAGAAGAACGGAUAAGUGAGCUGAAAGAUAGAAUGGUGGAAAUAACUGCUGUGAAGCUGAAUAAAGAAAAAAGAAUGAAAAGAAUUGAGGACAUCUAUCAUUGGACAUUUAGGUUGUUUCCAUGUCCUGGCUAUUGUAAAUAGUGCUGCAAUGAACACUGGGGUACGUGUGUCCUUUUGAAUUAUGGUUUUCUCAGGGUAUAUGCCCAGUAAUGGGAUUUCUGGGUACAGAUGAACCUAUUUGAAGGGCAGGAAUAGAGAUGUAGAGGAAGAGAACUGACAUGUAGACACAGUAGGGGAAGGAGAGGAUGGGACGAACUGGGAGAUUAGGUUUGACAUAAAUACACGACCAUGUGUAAAAUAGAUAGCUAGUGGAAACCUGCUGUAGAGCACACGGAGCUCAGAUCAGUGCUCUGUGAUGACCUAGAUGGGUGCGGGGAGGGGAGAAGGGUGGUCCAAGAGGGAGUGGAUAUAGGUAUACGUAUAGCGGAUUCACUUCAUUGUACAGCAGAAACUAACACAAAAUUGUAAAGCAAUUUUACUCCAAUUAAAAAAAAGAAUUGAGGACAGUCUCAGAGACCUCUGAGAUAACAUUAAAUGCACCCACAUUCGAAUUAUAGGGGCCCCAGAAGAAGAGAAAAAGCAAGGGUCUGAGAAAAUAUUUGAAGAGCUUAUAGUCGAAAACUUCCCUAACAUGAAAAGGAAAUAGCCACCCAAGUCCAGGAAGCACACAUUCCCGUACACGGUAAACAAGGAGAAGCACACCAAGACACAUAUUAAGCAAACUAUCAAAAAUUAAAUGCAAAGAAAAAACAUUAGCACAUAUUCCCGUACAUGGUAAACACAAGGAGAAGCACACCAAGACACAUACUAAUCAAACUGUCCAAAAUUAAAUGCAAAGAGAAAACAUUAAAAGCAGCAAGGGAAAAGCAAUUAAUAACAUACAAAGGAAUCCCCAUAAGGUUAUCAGCUGAUUUUGCAGCAGAAACUCUGCAGGCCAGAUGGGAGUGACCGGAUAUAUUUUAAAUGACAAAAGAGAAAAACCUACAACCAAGAUUACUCUAACCAGCAAGGAUCUCAUUCAGAUUCAAUGGAGAAAUUAAAACCUUUACAGAGAAACAGAAGCUAAGAGAAUUCAGCCCCAUCGAACCAGUUCUACAACAAACGCUAAAGGAACUUCUCUAAGCGGGAAACAUGAGAGAAGAAAAGGACCUACAAAAACAAACCCAAAACAAUUAAGAAAAUGGUAAUAGGAACAUACAUAUAGAUAAUUGCCUUAAAUGUGAAUGGAUUAAAUGCGCCAACCAAAAGACACAGACUAGCUGAAUGGAUAUAAAAACAAGACCUGUAUAUAUUCUGUCUGCAAGAGACCCACUUCCGACCUAGGGACACAUACAGACUGAAAACGAGGGGAUGGAAAAAGAUAUUCCACGCAAAUGGACCUCAAAAGAAAGCUGGAGUAGCAAUACACAAAUCAGACAAAAUAGACUUUAAAAUAAAGACUAUUACAAGAGAUAAUGAAGGAUACUACAUAUUGAUCAAGUGAUCAAUCCAAGAAGAAGAAAUAACAAUUGUAAAUAUUUAUGCACCGAAUAUAGAAGCACCUGAAUACAUAAGGCAAAUGCUAACAGCCAUAAAAGGGGAAGUCGACAGUAACAUGAUAAUAGUAUGGAACCUUAACACCCCACUCACACCAAUGGACAUAUCAUCCAAACAGAAAAUAAAUAAGGAAACGCAAGCUUUAAGUGACACAUUAGACCAGACGGACUUAAUUGAUACUUAUAGGACAUUUCAUCCAAAAACAACAGAAUACACUUUCUUCUCAAGUGCACAUGGAACAUUCACCAGGAUAGUUCACAUCUUGGGUCACAAGUUAAGCCUAGGUAAAUUUUAAAAAAUUGAAAUCAUAUCAAGCAUCUUUUCUGACCACAACGCUAUGAGACUAGAUAUAAAUUACAGCAAAAAAUCUGUAAAAAACACAAACACAUGGAGGCUAAACAACACACUACUCAAUAACCAAGAGAUCACUUAAGGAAUCAAAGAUGAAAUCAAAAAAUACCUAGAAAAAAAUGACAAUGGAAACAGGAUGACCCAAAAUCUGUGGGAUGCAGCAAAAGCAGUUCUAAGAGGGAAGUUUACAGCAAUACAAUCCUACCUCAAGAAGCAAGAAAAAUCUCAAAUAAACAACCUAACCUUACACCUAAAGCAAUCAGAGAAAGAAGGAAAAAAAAUACCCCAAAGUUAGCAGAAGGAAAGAAAUCAUAAAGAUCAGAUCAGAAAUAAAUGUAAAAGAAAUGAAGGAAACAAUGGCAAUGAUCAAUAAAACUAUAGACUAAUUUGAAAAGAUAAACAAAAUUGAUAAACUAUUAGCCAGACUCAUCAGGAAAAAAAAGGGAAAGACACAAAUCAACAGAACUAGAAACAAAAAAGGAGAAGUAACAACUAACACGGAAGAAAUACAAAGGAUCAUGAGAGACUACUACAAACAACUAUAUGGUAAUAAAAUGGACAACUGGAAGAAAUGGACAAAUUCUAAGAAAAGUACAACCUUCCAAGACUGAGCCAGGAAGAAAUAGAAAAUAUGAACAGACCAGUCACAAGCAGUGAAAUUGAAACUGGGAUUAAAAAUCUUCCAACAAACGAAAGCCCAGGGCCAGAAGCCUUCACAGGCUAAUUCAAUCAAACAUUUAGAGAAGAGCUAACACCUAUCCUUCUCAAACUCUUCCAAAAUAUAACAGAAGGAGGAACACUCCCAGACUCAUUCUGGAGGCCACCAUCACCCUGACACCAAAACCAGACAAAGAUGUCAAAAAAAAGAAAAUGACAGGCCAGUAUAACUGAUGAACAUAGAUGAAAAAGUCCUCAACAAAAUACUAGCAAACAGAAUCUGACAACACAUUAAAAUGAUCAUUCACCAUGAUCAAGUGGGGUGUAUCCCAGGAAGGCAAGUAUUCUUCAAUACAGGCAAAUCAAUCAAUGUGAUACACGAAGUUAACAAACUGAAGGAUAAAAACCAUAUGAUCACCUCAAUGGAUGCAGAAAAAGCUUUCGAUAAAAUUCAACACCCAUUUAUGAUAAAAACUCUCCAGAAAGUGGGCACAGAGGGAACCUACCUCAACAUAAUAAAGGCCUAUAUGACAAACACACAUCCAACAUCACUUUCAGUGGUGAAAAACUAAAAGCAUUUCCUGUAAGAUCAGGAACAAGAAAAGGUUGCCCACUCUCACCACUAUUAUUCAACGUAGUUUUGGAAAUUUUAGCCACGGCAAUCAGAAAAGAAAAAGAAAUAAAAGGAAUCCAAACUGGAAAAGAAGAAGUAAAAGUGUCACUCUUUGCAGAUGACAUGAUACUAUACAUAGAGAAUCCUAAAGAUGCCACCAGAAAACUACUAGAGCUCAUCAAUGAAUUUGGUAAAGUAGCAGGAUACAAAAUUAAUGCACAGAAAUCUCUGGCAUUCCUAUGUACUAACAAUGAAAAAUCAGGAAGAGAAAUUAAGGAAACACUUCCAUUUACCACUGCAACAAAAAGAAUAAAAUACCUAGGAAUAAACCUACCUAAGGAGCAGAAGACUGUAUGCAGAACACUAUAAGACAUUAAUGACAGAAAUCAAAGAUGAUACAAACAGAUGGAGAGAUAUACCAUGUUCUUGGAUUGGAAGAAUCAACACUGUGAAAAUGACUAUACUACCCAAAGCAAUCGACAGAUUCAAUGCAAUCCCAAUCAAAUUACCACUGGCAUUUUUCACAGAACUAGAGCAAAAUAUUUUACAAUUUGUAUGGAAACACAAAAGACCCCGAAUAGCCAAAGCAAUCUUGAGAAAGAAAAAUGGAGCUGGAGGAAUCAGGCUCCUUGACUUCAGACUAUACUACAAAGCUACAGUAAUCAAGACAGUAUGGUGCUGGCACAAAAACAGAAAUAUAGAUCAAUAGAACAGGAUAGAAAACCCAGAGAUAAACCCAUGCACUCAUGGUCACCUUAUCUUUGACAAAGGAGGCAAGAAUAUACAAUGGAGAAAAGACAGCCUCUUCAAUAAUUGAUGCUGGGAAAACCAGACAGCCACAUGUUAAAGAAUGAAAUUAGAAUACUCCCUAACACCAUACACAAAAGUAAACUCAAAAUGGAUUAAAGAUCUAAAUGUAAGGCCAGACACUAUAAAACUUAGAGGAAAACAUAGGCAGAACACUCUAUGACAUGAAUCACAACAAGAUCUUUUUGACCCACCUCCUAGAAAAAUGGAAAUAAAAACAAAAAUAAACAAAUCAGACCUAGUGAAACUUAAAAGCUUUUGCACAGCAAAGGAAAACAUAAACAAGACAAAAAGGCAACCCUAGAAUGGGAAAAAAUAUUUGCAAAUGAAGCAACUGACAAAGGAUUAAUCUCCAAAAUACACAAGCAGCUCAUGCAGCUCAAUAUCAAAAAGACAAACAACCCAAUCCAAAAAUGGGCAGAAGACCUAUAUAGACAUUUCUCCAAAGACGACAUACAGAUGGCCAAUAAACACAUGAAAAGAUGAUCAACAUCACUAACCAUUAGAGAAAUGCAAAUCAAAACUAUAAUGAGGGAUCAUCUCACACUGGUCAGAAUAGCCAUCAUCAGAAAAUCUACAAACAACCUACAAACAAUGCUGGAGAGGGUGUGGAGAAAUGGGAACCCUCCUGCACUGUUGGUGGGAAUAUAAAUUGAUAUAGCCACUAUGGAGAACAGUAUGGAGGUUCCUUAAAAAAACUAUAAAUAGAACUACCAUAUGACCCAGCAAUCCCACUACUGGGAAUAUAUCCUGAGAAAACCGUAAUUCAAAAAGAUACAUGUAGCACAGUGUUCAUCGCAGCACUAUUUACAAUAGCCAGGACAUAGAAACAACCUAAAUGUCCAUCGACAGAUGAAUGGAUAAAGAAAAUGUGGCACAUAUAUACAAUGAAAUAUUACUCAGCCAUAAAAAAAGCAAAAUUGAGUUAUUUGUAGUGAGGUGGAUAGACGUAGCGUCUGACAUACUGAGUGAAGUAAGUCAGAAAGAGGAAAACAAAUACUGUAUGCUAACACAUAUAUAUGGAAUCUAGAAAAAUGGUACUGAUGAACCUAGUGGUAGGGCAGGAAUAAAGAUGCAGACGUUGAGAAUGGACUUGAGGACGCAGUGGGGGAAAAGGAGGCUGGGACAUAGUGAGAAAGUAACAUUGACAUAUAUACACUACCAAAUGUAAAAUAGCUAGCUAGUGGAAAGCUGCUGCAUAGCACAGGGAGAUCAGCUCAGUGCCUUGUGAAAACCUAGAGGGGUGAGAUAGGGAGGGUAGAGGGAAGGCUCAAGAUGGAGGGGAUAUGUGAAUAUAUGUAUGCAUAUAGCUUAUUCACUUUGUUGUACAGCAGAAACUAACACAACAUUGUAAAGCAUUUAUAUUUCAAUAAAAAUGUAUAAAAAAUA